UCUCUGCUAGUAUAUCGGUUAGUACACGCGCCUGUCAUUCUGAUGGACGCGCGAAAGCUGGGUUCGACUCCCAGGCAGAGAG